CCCUUAGAUGUUCUGGGCCGCACGCGCGCUACACUGAUGCAUUCAACGAGUUUCUUCCUGGUCCGAGAGGAAUGGGUAACCUUUUGAAAGUGCAUCGUGAUAGGGAUAGACUAUUGCAAUUAUUGGUCUUCAACGAGGAAUUCCUAGUAGACGUAGUUCAUCAGACUGCAUCGAUUACGUCCCUGCCCUUUGUACACACCGCCCGUCGCUCCUACCGAUUGAAUGGUUUAGUGAGAUCCUUGGAUCGGCCCUGUCGCGGCUGGCAACGGCCGCGUCGGCGCGUCGAGAAGACGAUCAAACUUGAUCAUUUAGAGGAAGUAAAAGUCGUAACA
rnacentral:rRNA from 1 species